rnacentral:rRNA from 1 species
UACAGAGGUCCCAAGCGUUGUUCGGAUUCACUGGGCGUAAAGGGUGCGUAGGUGGCGAAGUAAGUUGGAUGUGAAAGCUCCGAGCUUAACUCGGAAAUGGCAUUCAAAACUACUUUGCUAGAGGGUUGGAAGGGGGACUGGAAUUCUCGGUGUAGCAGUGAAAUGCGUAGAUAUCGAGAGGAACACCAGCGGCGAAGGCGAGUCCCUGGACAACUCCUGACACUGAGGCACGAAAGCUAGGGGAGCAAACAGG